AUGGCCGUCCACGAAGAAAAUGUAGCCAUUGGUGCCAUCUAUCGACCACAGGUUAAAGAUUGGCGAUCCGUUGGAUACCGACCGAGCUAUAGGCAAAACUUGGUGCGAAAAUGAGCCUUAGUGGAUUGACAAAUUUAUAGAUUUUUUCAAUUUUUUUCAUUAUUUUUUACCUUUUUUUAAUUUAAAGCAUUGUUUGAGUGAAAAGGAACUAAUUGCAACAAUUUCGCAUUAAAAUAAAACAAAUUUUUAAAUUUUGCUAAAUUUCUCAAAAAAAUGGCAAGGGGUACCCCUUAUGAAAUUUUCGAGUGGAAAAUUUUUUUGAAAUUUUUUUCUGAUUUUUUAUUCUUUUUUUAAUUUGAAGCAUUAUUUGAGUGAAAAGAAACUUAUUGCAACAAAUUCGCAAUGAAAUAUAUCACAUUUAAAAAUUUUGCUGAAUUGCAGAAAAAUGAGGAACAUUUUACAUUUUCUCAAACAGGGUAAGGAACUUGGUUCCUCGCAUAACUUCUGGCACAGACAUCUGAGGGCAUGGCCGUCCAAGAAGAAAAUGUAGCCAUUGGUGCCAUCUAUCGACCAUAGGCAAAGAUUGGAGAUCCGUUAGAUACCGACCGAGUUAUAGGCAAAAUUUGGUGCAAAAAUGAGGAACAUUUUACAUUUUCUCAAACAGGAUAAGGAACUUGGUUCCUCGCAUAACUUCUGGCACAGACAUCUGAGGGCAUGGCCGUCUACGAAGAAAAUGUAGCCAUUGGUGCCAUCUAUCGACCACAGGUUAAAGAUUGGAGAUCCGUUAGAUACCGACCGAGUUAUAGGCAAAACUUGGUGCGAAAAUGGGCCUUAGUGGAUUGACAAAUUUAUAGAUUUUUUCAAUUUUUUUCAUUAUUUUUUACCUUUUUUUAAUUUAAAGCAUUGUUUGAGUGAAAAGGAACUAAUUGCAAUAAUUUCGCAUUAAAAUAAAACAAAUUUUUAAAUUUUGCUAAAUUUCUCAAAGAAAUGACAAGGGGUACCCCUUAUGAAAUUUUCGAGUGGAAAAUUUUUUUGAAAUUUUUUUCUGAUUUUUUAUUCUUUUUUUAAUUUGAAGCAUUAUUUGAGUGGAAAGAAACUUAUUGCAACAAACUCGCAAUGAAAUAUAUCACAUUUAAAAAUUUUGCUGAAUUGCAGAAAAUGAGGAACAUUUUACAUUUUCUCAAACAGGGUAAGGAACUUGGUUCCUCGCAUAACUUCUGGCACAGACAUCUGAGGGCAUGGCCGUCCAAGAAGAAAAUGUAGCCAUUGGUGCCAUCUAUCGACCAUAGGCAAAGAUUGGAGAUCCGUUAGAUACCGACCGAGUUAUAGGCAAAAUUUGGUGCAAAAAUGAGGAACAUUUUACAUUUUCUCAAACAGGGUAAGGAACUUGGUUCCUCGCAUAACUUCUGGCACAGACAUCUGAGGGCAUGGCCGUCCAAGAAGAAAAAGUAGCCAUUGAUGCCAUCUAUCGACCACAGGCAAAGAUUGGCGAUCCGUUAGAUACCGACCGAGCUAUAGGCAAAACUUGGUGCGAAAAUGAGCCUUAGUGGAUUGACAAAUUUAUAGAUUUUUUCAAUUUUUUUCAUUAUUUUUUACCUUUUUUUAAUUUAAAGCAUUGUUUGAGUGAAAAGGAACUAAUUGCAACAAUUUCGCAUUAAAAUAAAACAAAUUUUUAAAUUUUGCUAAAUUUCUCAAAAAAAUGGCAAGGGGUACCCCUUAUGAAAUUUUCGAGUGGAAAAUUUUUUUGAAAUUUUUUUCUGAUUUUUUAUUCUUUUUUUAAUUUGAAGCAUUAUUUGAGUGAAAAGAAACUUAUUGCAACAAAUUCGCAAUGAAAUAUAUCACAUUUAAAAAUUUUGCUGAAUUGCAGAAAAAUGAGGAACAUUUUACAUUUUCUCAAACAGGGUAAGGAACUUGGUUCCUCGCAUAACUUCUGGCACAGACAUCUGAGGGCAUGGCCGUCCAAGAAGAAAAUGUAGCCAUUGGUGCCAUCUAUCGACCAUAGGCAAAGAUUAGAGAUCCGUUAGAUACCGACCGAGUUAUAGGCAAAAUUUGGUGCAAAAAUGAGGAACAUUUUACAUUUUCUCAAACAGGGUAAGGAACUUGGUUCCUCGCAUAACUUCUGGCACAGACAUCUGAGGGCAUGGCCGUCCAAGAAGAAAAAGUAGCCAUUGAUGCCAUCUAUCGACCACAGGCAAAGAUUGGAGAUCCGUUAGAUACCGACCGAGUUAUAGGCAAAACUUGGUGCGUAAAUGAGCCUUAGUGGAUUGACAAAUUUAUAGAUUUUUUCAAUUUUUUUCAUUAUUUUUUACCUUUUUUUAAUUUAAAGCAUUGUUUGAGUGAAAAGGAACUAAUUGCAACAAUUUCGCAUUAAAAUAAAACAAAUUUUUAAAUUUUGCUAAAUUUCUCAAAAAAAUGGCAAGGGGUACCCCUUAUGAAAUUUUCGAGUGGAAAAUUUUUUUGAAAUUUUUUUCUGAUUUUUUAUUCUUUUUUUAAUUUGAAGCAUUAUUUGAGUGGAAAGAAACUUAUUGCAACAAACUCGCAAUGAAAUAUAUCACAUUUAAAAAUUUUGCUGAAUUGCAGAAAAAUGAGGAACAUUUUACAUUUUCUCAAACAGGGUAAGGAACUUGGUUCCUCGCAUAACUUCUGGCACAGACAUCUGAGGGCAUGGCCGUCCAAGAAGAAAAUGUAGCCAUUGGUGCCAUCUAUCGACCACAGGCAAAGAUUGGAGAUCCGUUAGAUACCGACCGAGUUAUAGGCAAAACUUGGUGCAAAAAUGAGGAACAUUUUACAUUUUCUCAAACAGGGUAAGGAACUUGGUUCCUCGCAUAACUUCUGGCACAGACAUCUGAGGGCAUGGCCGUCCAAGAAGAAAUUGUAGCCAUUGGUGCCAUUUAUUGACCACAGGUUAAAGAUUGGCGAUCCGUUAGAUACCGACCGAGUUAUAGGCAAAACUUGGUGGGAAAAUGAGCCUUAGUGGAUUGACAAAUUUAUAGAUUUUUUCAAUUUUUUUCAUUAUUUUUUACCUUUUUUUAAUUUAAAGCAUUGUUUGAGUGAAAAGGAACUAAUUGCAACAAUUUCGCAUUAAAAUAAAACAAAUUUUUAAAUUUUGCUAAAUUUCUCAAAAAAAUGGCAAGGGGUACCCCUUAUGAAAUUUUCGAGUGGAAAAUUUUUUUGAAAUUUUUUUCUGAUUUUUUAUUCUUUUUUUAAUUUGAAGCAUUAUUUGAGUGAAAAGAAACUUAUUGCAACAAAUUCGCAAUGAAAUAUAUCACAUUUAAAAAUUUUGCUGAAUUGCAGAAAAAUGAGGAACAUUUUACAUUUUCUCAAACAGGGUAAGGAACUUGGUUCCUCGCAUAACUUCUGGCACAGACAUCUGAGGGCAUGGCCGUCCAAGAAGAAAAUGUAGCCAUUGGUGCCAUCUAUCGACCAUAGGCAAAGAUUGGAGAUCCGUUAGAUACCGACCGAGUUAUAGGCAAAAUUUGGUGCAAAAAUGAGGAACAUUUUACAUUUUCUCAAACAGGAUAAGGAACUUGGUUCCUCGCAUAACUUCUGGCACAGACAUCUGAGGGCAUGGCCGUCCAAGAAGAAAAUGUAGCCAUUGGUGCCAUCUAUCGACCACAGGUUAAAGAUUGGAGAUCCGUUAGAUACCGACCGAGUUAUAGGCAAAACUUGGUGCAAAAAUGAGGAACAUUUUACAUUUUCUCAAACAGGGUAUGGAACUUGGUUCCUCGCAUAACUUCUGGCACAGACAUCUGAGGGCAUGGCCGUCCAAGAAGAAAAUGUAGCCAUUGGUGCCAUCUAUCGACCAUAGGCAAAGAUUGGAGGUCCGUUAUAUACCGACCGAGUUAUAGGCAAAAUUUGGUGCAAAAAUGAGGAACAUUUUACAUUUUCUCAAACAGGGUAAGGAACUUGGUUCCUCGCAUAACUUCUGGCACAGACAUCUGAGGGCAUGGCCGUCCAAGAAGAAAAUGUAGCCAUUGGUGCCAUCUAUCGACCACAGGCAAAGAUUGGAGAUCCGUUAGAUACCGACCGAGUUAUAGGCAAAACUUGGUGCAAAAAUGAGGAACAUUUUACAUUUUCUCAAACAGGGUAAGGAACUUGGUUCCUCGCAUAACUUCUGGCACAGACAUCUGAGGGCAUGGCCGUCUACGAAGAAAAUGUAGCCAUUGAUGCCAUCUAUCGACCACAGGCAAAGAUUGGAGAUCCGUUGGAUACCGACCGAGUUAUAGGCAAAACUUGGUGUGAAAAUGAGCCUUAGUGGAUUGACAAAUUUAUAGAUUUUUUCAAUUUUUUUCAUUAUUUUUUACCUUUUUUUAAUUUAAAGCAUUGUUUGAGUGAAAAGGAACUAAUUGCAACAAUUUCGCAUUAAAAUAAAAUAAAUUUAUAAAUUUUGCUAAAUUUCUCAAAAAAAUGGCAAGGGGUACCCCUUAUGAAAUUUUCGAGUGGAAAAUUUUUUUGAAAUUUUUUUCUGAUUUUUUAUUCUUUUUUUAAUUUGAAGCAUUAUUUGAGUGAAAAGAAACUUAUUGCAACAAAUUCGCAAUGAAAUAUAUCACAUUUAAAAAUUUUGCUGAAUUGCAGAAAAAUGAGGAACAUUUUACAUUUUCUCAAACAGGGUAAGGAACUUGGUUCCUCGCAUAACUUCUGGCACAGACAUCUGAGGGCAUGGCCGUCCAAGAAGAAAAUGUAGCCAUUGGUGCCAUCUAUCGACCAUAGGCAAAGAUUGGAGGUCCGUUAUAUACCGACCGAGUUAUAGGCAAAAUUUGGUGCAAAAAUGAGGAACAUUUUACAUUUUCUCAAACAGGGUAAGGAACUUGGUUCCUCGCAUAACUUCUGGCACAGACAUCUGAAGCCAUGGCCGUCCAAGAAGAAAAUGUAGCCAUUGGUGCCAUCUAUCGACCAUAGGCAAAGAUUGGAGGUCCGUUUUAUACCGACCGAGUUAUAGGCAAAAUUUGGUGCAAAAAUGAGGAAAAUUUUACAUUUUCUCAAACAGGGUAAGGAACUUGGUUCCUCGCAUAACUUCUGGCACAGACAUCUGAGGGCAUGGCCGUCCAAGAAGAAAUUGUAGCCAUUGGUGCCAUUUAUCGACCACAGGUUAAAGAUUGACGAUCCGUUAGAUACCGACCGAGCUAUAGGCAAAACUUGGUGCCAAAAUGAGCCUUAGUGGAUUGACAAAUUUAUAGAUUUUUUCAAUUUUUUUCAUUAUUUUUUACCUUUUUUUAAUUUAAAGCAUUGUUUGAGUGAAAAGGAACUAAUUGCAACAAUUUCGCAUUAAAAUAAAACAAAUUUUUAAAUUUUGCUAAAUUUCUCAAAAAAAUGGCAAGGGGUACCCCUUAUGAAAUUUUCGAGUGGAAAAUUUUUUUGAAAUUUUUUUCUGAUUUUUUAUUCUUUUUUUUAAUUUGAAGCAUUAUUUGAGUGAAAAGAAACUUAUUGCAACAAAUUCGCAAUGAAAUAUAUCACAUUUAAAAAUUUUGCUGAAUUGCAGAAAAAUGAGGAACAUUUUACAUUUUCUCAAACAGGGUAAGGAACUUGGUUCCUCGCAUAACUUCUGGCACAGACAUCUGAGGGCAUGGCCGUCCAAGAAGAAAAUGUAGCCAUUGGUGCCAUCUAUCGACCAUAGGCAAAGAUUGGAGAUCCGUUAGAUACCGACCGAGUUAUAGGCAAAAUUUGGUGCAAAAAUGAGGAACAUUUUACAUUUUCUCAAACAGGAUAAGGAACUUGGUUCCUCGCAUAACUUCUGGCACAGACAUCUGAGGGCAUGGCCGUCUACGAAGAAAAGGUAGCCAUUGGUGCCAUCUAUCGACCACAGGUUAAAGAUUGGAGAUCCGUUAGAUACCGACCGAGUUAUAGGCAAAACUUGGUGCGAAAAUGGGCCUUAGUGGAUUGACAAAUUUAUAGAUUUUUUCAAUUUUUUUCAUUAUUUUUUACCUUUUUUUAAUUUAAAGCAUUGUUUGAGUGAAAAGGAACUAAUUGCAAUAAUUUCGCAUUAAAAUAAAACAAAUUUUUAAAUUUUGCUAAAUUUCUCAAAGAAAUGACAAGGGGUACCCCUUAUGAAAUUUUCGAGUGGAAAAUUUUUUUGAAAUUUUUUUCUGAUUUUUUAUUCUUUUUUUAAUUUGAAGCAUUAUUUGAGUGGAAAGAAACUUAUUGCAACAAACUCGCAAUGAAAUAUAUCACAUUUAAAAAUUUUGCUGAAUUGCAGAAAAAUGAGGAACAUUUUACAUUUUCUCAAACAGGGUAAGGAACUUGGUUCCUCGCAUAACUUCUGGCACAGACAUCUGAGGGCAUGGCCGUCCAAGAAGAAAAUGUAGCCAUUGGUGCCAUCUAUCGACCAUAGGCAAAGAUUGGAGAUCCGUUAGAUACCGACCGAGUUAUAGGCAAAAUUUGGUGCAAAAAUGAGGAACAUUUUACAUUUUCUCAAACAGGGUAAGGAACUUGGUUCCUCGCAUAACUUCUGGCACAGACAUCUGAGGGCAUGGCCGUCCAAGAAGAAAAAGUAGCCAUUGAUGCCAUCUAUCGACCACAGGCAAAGAUUGGCGAUCCGUUAGAUACCGACCGAGUUAUAGGCAAAACUUGGUGCAAAAAUGAGGAACAUUUUACAUUUUCUCAAACAGGGUAAGGAACUUGGUUCCUUGCAUAACUUCUGGCACAGACAUCUGAGGGCAUGGCCGUCCAAGAAGAAAAUGUAGCCAUUGGUGCCAUCUAUCGACCAUAGGCAAAGAUUGGAGAUCCGUUAGAUACCGACCGAGUUAUAGGCAAAAUUUGGUGCAAAAAUGAGGAAAAUUUUACAUUUUCUCAAACAGGGUAAGGAACUUCGUUCCUCGCAUACCUUCUGGCACAAACAUCUGAGGGCAUGGCCGUCCACGAAGAAAAUGUAGCCAUUGGUGCCAUCUAUCGACCAUAGGCAAAGAUAGGCGAUCCGUUGGAUACCGACCGAGCUAUAGGCAAAACUUGGUGCGAAAAUGAGCCUUAGUGGAUUGACAAAUUUAUAGAUUUUUUCAAUUUUUUUCAUUAUUUUUUACCUUUUUUUAAUUUAAAGCAUUGUUUGAGUGAAAAGGAACUAAUUGCAACAAUUUCGCAUUACAAUAAAACAAAUUUUUAAAUUUUGCUAAAUUUCUCAAAAAAAUGGCAAGGGGUACCCCUUAUGAAAUUUUCGAGUGGAAAAUUUUUUUGAAAUUUUUUUCUGAUUUUUUAUUCUUUUUUUAAUUUAAAGCAUUAUUUGAGUGGAAAGAAACUUAUUGCAACAAAUUUGCAACGAAAUAUAUCACAUUUAAAAAUUUUGCUGAAUUGCAGAAAAAUGAGGAACAUUUUACAUUUUCUCAAACAGGGUAAGGAACUUAGUUCCUCGCAUAACUUCUGGCACAGACAUCUGAGGGCAUGGCCGUCCAAGAAGAAAAUGUAGCCAUUGAUGCCAUCUAUCGACCAUAGGCAAAGAUUGGAGAUCCGUUAGAUACCGACCGAGUUAUAGGCAAAACUUGGUUCAAAAAUGAGGAAAAUUUUACAUUUUCUCAAACAGGGUAAGGAACUUGGUUCUUCGCAUAACUUCUGGCACAGACAUCUGAGGGCAUGGCCGUCUACGAAGAAAAGGUAGACAUUGGUGCCAUCUAUCGA